GGGGCGCGCAGGCGCUCAGUUGGGUUGGGGCGAGGGCGGAGGUGGUAAAGGGGUGAAGGCGGAGGAGGGAGUGUGUGCGAACAGGCAACACAUGCCUGGCGCGGUGCCUUGCAGCUGGUGGCGGGUGGGGCCGCCGGGCGGGCCGCCGCCUUCUCCUGUCGACGGAGGCUGCUGACGGGAAAACGAUCCGGGUGGGGAGCGCCCCGGCCCAGGCACUUUUCCGCUGAAAGUCUGCGGGAGCCUAGGGCUGGGUAACCCAGGUAGAGACUCUGGGUCGUGUUACAAACGGACGUUGAGGAUCGCAAAGAUCAGCCUUCUAGCCCUCUCUCUGCCUAUUACGGGCUCUGUGACCAAUGGCAAAUCACUUUACCCGCGCCUCAGUUUCCCCACUCUUCUAGAGGGCUUGCGACCUGAGAGUGGCCAAGAAGAAAAGAAAGUUCACGUCACAAGCACUACCUGCCUAUCUUGCUGAAGGCCUCCAACUGCUGGACACGAAGGAAAACAAACGGCAACUAUUUUACUGCAGACAGCAAGUCAGAGCCCCCCAGUCCCAGGAAAGCCCAGGAGGCCGGAGCCUCAGUGGAGCCCACCCCCGACUUUCCCUCGGCGUGCCCUGGUGCUCGUUGCUCAGGACAGUCUGCUUGGCAGCCGCUUAUCUAGAAAAAUGAAUGAACAUCGUAUUAAACACUCCCUGAUCACUCGCUAAUCAGGUUCAACUGAAGAGGCUGUUCUAAGAAAGAUGACUGAGGUAAUCAAUCACCUUCCUCAGAGAAAGUCCGCUCAGGUAGAAUUUUGUUUACCAUGUAAACAAUGGAACAUUUAUUGCCGAAUCCCUUGUUCCUUCAUAGCCAGGGUAGAGAAUUUAGAUUUCUUCGUGGGGGGGGGGGGGCAUGAGGGUAAAAGAAAUGGUCAUGAGAGAGAAGCUGGGUCCUGGAGAAAGAGACCUGUGGCUUCUUGAUCCUUCAUAGCCCCCUGUGAGGAGAAUCAAAAAGGUAAAGACUGUCCCUUCAGCUCAGAUGGGGAGUGUGUUUCUCCUUAUUUUACAAAGCGGGAUGACAAACCAGGUUUUCCCAGAAAGCCUGGGGACACGCAGGGGAUAGGAGUGACUAGAGAAGGGAGGGGGGCAGGGGAGGACUGAAGAUCAUCCUUAACUUUCCAAAAGCAGGAAUAUAGGACACUUAAUAAACUUUAAAUUACUUGCCUCUUUUAUGGACAGGGGUGAUUAUUUUUACUAAAGAGGACUAAAAUAAUUCAUUUUUAGAGCUCACUUUUGUAAGAUCACAGCAAAAAACAAAACCCAGAAUCUGUUGCUUUGGGUGAAAAACAGUGAUAAUGAUCUCUAACUAUGCUCAGUGAUUCUAAAAUUGCUAUUUAUAGGAAAUAUUAUACAUUAAAAACAACUACACUAAAAAAUGGAUCCCAGCUGUGGACACGGUCAAGAGAUCAGGGGUUGGGGAGAGGGAGGGAUGAAGAGGUGGAGCACAGAGAAUUUUUAGAGCAGUUAAACUAUUCUGUUUGCUGCUGUAAUGGUGGAUACAUGUCAUUAUAUAUUUGUUAAAACCCACAGAAGGUACACCACCAAGAGUGAACCCCAAUGUAAACUCUGAUCUGUAGUUAAUAGUAAUGUGUCAUAUUGGUUCAUCAAUUGAAACAAAUACACCACAGUAAUAAAAAAUGUUAAUAAUAGGGGAAACUGUGUGUGUGGCGGGGUGAGGUAGGGAGGGAACAGUAUAUGGGAACUCUGUGCUU